GAUGAAGAACGUAGCAAAAUGCGAUACUUGGUGUGAAUUGCAGAAUCCCGUGAACCAUCGAGUCUUUGAACGCAAGUUGCGCCCGAAGCCAUUAGGCCUAGGGCACGCCUGCCUGGGCGUCACACGUCGUUGCCCCCCCCAUCUACUCCUUCGGGAUUGCGGGGGGCGGAUGAUGGCCUCCCGUGCGCCUCGCCGCGCGGUUGGCAUAAAUGCCAAGUCCUCGGCGAUGCACGCCACGACAAUCGGUGGUUGCGAAACCUCGGUUGCCCGUCGUGUGCGGUCGUCGCGCAUCGAGGGCUCGAAAAAAUUGCCGGGUUCCGGCUCGGCUUUCAACGCGACCCCAGGUCAGGCGGGGUUACCCGCUGAAUUUAAGCAUAUCAAUAAGCGGAGGA
rnacentral:misc_RNA from 1 species